rnacentral:rRNA from 1 species
GACGAACGCUGGCGGCGUGCUUAACACAUGCAAGUCGAACGGAAAGGCCCUUCUUUUGUGGGGUGCUCGAGUGGCGAACGGGUGAGUAACACGUGAGUAACCUGCCCUUGACUUUGGUAUAACUUCAGGAAACUGGGGCUAAUACCGGAUAGGAGCUCCUGCUGCAUGGUGGGGGUUGGAAAGUUUCGGCGGUUGGGGAUGGACUCGCGGCUUCUCCGCUUGUUGGUGGGGUAGUGUCUUACCAAGGCUUUGACGGGUAGCCGGCCUGAGAGGGUGACCGGCAAAAUUGGGACUGAGAAACGGCCCAGACUCCUACGGGAGGCAGAAGGGGGGAAUAUGGCAAAAUGGGCGGAAGCCUGAGGCAGCAACGCCGGGUGCGGGAUGACGGCCUUGGGGUGGUAAACCGCUUUGGCCAGUGACGAAGCGUGAGUGACGGUAAUGGGUAAAGAAGCACCGGCUAACUACGUG